rnacentral:rRNA from 1 species
GACGAACGCUGGCGGCGUGCCUAAUACAUGCAAGUAGAACGCACAGUUUAUACCGUAGCUUGCUACACCAUAGACUGUGAGUUGCGAGCGGGUGAGUAACGCGUAGGUAACCUGCCUGGUAGCGGGGGAUAACUAUUGGAAACGAUAGCUAAUACCGCAUAAUAUUGAUUAUUGCAUGAUAAUUGAUUGAAAGAUGCUAUUGCAUCACUACCAGAUGGACCUGCGUUGUAUUAGCUAGUAGGUGAGGUAACGGCUCACCUAGGCGACGAUACAUAGCCGACCUGAGAGGGUGAUCGGCCACACUGGGACUGAGACACGGCCCAGACUCCUACGGGAGGCAGCAGUAGGGAAUCUUCGGCAAUGGACGAAAGUCUGACCGAGCAACGCCGCGUGAGUGAAGAAGGUUUUCGGAUCGUAAAGCUCUGUUGUAAGAGAAGAACGGGUGUGAGAGUGGAAAGUUCACACUGUGACGGUAUCUUACCAGAAAGGGACGGCUAACUACGU